CACGCUAGAGAGAGUCAGCUGAAUGAGCUGAUUACUGAAUCUCUUGUUGCCAGAAUAAGAACAGUAUAGUGUUUGUCUGUCUCCUAGACUACCUCAAGCCUCUUACGGUGACAGCCCUACGAGACGCCGACUACAUCUCAACCUACAUGGCGCAGUGAGCAACCUACAUACCUUCCUUGGACAAAAUCAGGUGAGCUGAGGCUUUGGCAAGGAGCUGCUGUGGGUGCCGGACUCCACCUCCCUCCUAUCUCCGCAAAUGAGGAGUUGUGAGGCGCAGCGGUGCGUCCUGAGGCUGCUGUAAGCUAAUGGCCUGGUGCUUGGCCUGCUAGCCUCAGAUGGACGCCACUUAGCGGGAGAAGUGAUGGCCUCGAGAAAGCUGAGAUAACUGUGAAUUGCAUCGUAUCACUUGUAUAAUGGAACUUGACAUCCCUUUGUGAAACGUGACGCCUGCCUCUCAAUUACCUCUAGUUCAUCGUACCUGUGGAUUAAUUAACAUACCUGUGGACUCACCUGGAAAAUUGAGUGGUUGUCAUUUGGAUGCGUUUUAUUGUAGUUCUUAAUCCAUUAUUCUUUGUUUCCGUGAGCUGUUUCUGUUUUGGUUUGAAGUUUGCAUCUUUCUAUCAUUUAUUUAUUUAUUUAUUUUAUUUUUUACCGCUUUCAGUUACGUGUUCUUUUAUUUGUUUAUAUAGUUUGUCUGUCUGUG